rnacentral:rRNA from 1 species
CCUACGGGCGGCAGCAGUGAGGAAUAUUGGUCAAUGGCCGCAAGGCUGAACCAGCCAUGCCGCGUGAAGGUCAGUGCCCUAUGGGCGUUAAACUUCUUUUGUGCGGGAGCAAUAAUGGUCACGUGUGGCCAGACGAGAGUACCGUACGAAUAAGCAUCGGCUAACUCCGUGCCAGCAGCCGCGGUAAUACGGGGGAUGCAAGCGUUAUCCGGAUUUAUUGGGUUUAAAGGGUGCGUAGGCUGUGAGGUAAGUCAGCGGGGAAAUGCCCCCGCGCAACGGGGUGAAGUGCCAUUGAUACUGCCUUGCUGGAAUGCGGAUGCGGUGGGAGGAAUGUGUGGUGUAGCGGUGAAAUGCAUAGAUAUCACACAGAACACCGAUUGCGAAGGCAUCUCACGAAUCCGCGAUUGACGCUGAUGCACGAAAGCGUGGGUAUCAAACAGUAUUAGAUACCCCAGUAGUC